UUCAACGUGAGAGUUUGAUCCUGGCUCAGAGCGAACGCUGGCGGCAGGCUUAACACAUGCAAGUCGAGCGGGCCCUUCGGGGUCAGCGGCGGACGGGUGAGUAACGCGUGGGAACGUGCCUUCUGGUUCGGAAUAACCCUGGGAAACUAGGGCUAAUACCGGAUACGCCCUUAUGGGGAAAGGUUUACUGCCGGAAGAUCGGCCCGC
rnacentral:rRNA from 1 species